rnacentral:ncRNA from 1 species
UUGAGCAGUAUGAAGCGAAAGUUUCACGUACGGUUCUUAGAAGAGUCGGAGCGAGCAAUCGCUCCUUCUUAUUCGGC